rnacentral:rRNA from 1 species
CUACGGGGUGCUGCAGUGGGGAAUAUUGCACAAUGGGCGCAAGCCUGAUGCAGCCAUGCCGCGUGUAUGAAGAAGGCCUUCGGGUUGUAAAGUACUUUCAGCGGGGAGGAAGGGAGUAAAGUUAAUACCUUUGCUCAUUGACGUUACCCGCAGAAGAAGCACCGGCUAACUCCGUGCCAGCAGCCGCGGUAAUACGGAGGGUGCAAGCGUUAAUCGGAAUUACUGGGCGUAAAGCGCAUGCAGGCGGUUUGUUAAGUCAGAUGUGAAAUCCCCGGGCUCAACCUGGGAACUGCAUCUGAUACUGGCAAGCUUGAGUCUCGUAGAGGGGGGUAGAAUUCCAGGUGUAGCGGUGAAAUGCGUAGAGAUCUGGAGGAAUAUCGGUGGCGAAGGCGGCCCCCUGGACGAAGACUGACGCUCAGGUGCGAAAGCGUGGGGAGCAAACAGGAUUAGAUACCCGCGUAGUC